GCCGCGUCAUUUCUCUUCCAUGGUUGCAAAAGGAUAGCAUUGCAAUCUCGUCACUUAACGGUUCUGUUUUACGAUUAUUCUUUUCAUUGAUGAUUUUUUACUUUCUUAGGUAUAAGAUUUUUGUCGCAUGAGGGUCUGGAGUUUGGCUCUUUGGCUUUUUAAUCCGUGCCAUAGAGAUGAAUGCAGCACCCAAUACUGAGUUCUUUCAACCUUUUCACUAAUAUUCGCUUCUAUGUUUGUUUAAUCAGUAUGCGGAUCUUUUCGCUGAGGGAAUCUGAAAUUGUGGUUAUUGAGUGGUAAUUCAGGCAGCCUACUUGCCACGAUAACAAAUGGCAUGAGAGGUGUUAAACUGCUCGUAUAUAAAAUGCUUUUGCUCUUCAGACUUGCUGAAAUUAUUUUGAAGCUGGUCUAGUAAGCUUACGUACAUUCUUUAUUAUCA